rnacentral:rRNA from 1 species
GUCGAGCGAACGGACGAGAAGCUUGCUUCUCUGAAUGUUAGCGGCGGACGGGUGAGUAACACGUGGAUAACCUACCUAUAAGACUGGGAUAACUUCGGGAAACCGGAGCUAAUACCGGAUAAUAUUUUGAACCGCAUGGUUCAAAAGUGAAAGACGGUCUUGCUGUCACUUAUAGAUGGAUCCGCGCUGCAUUAGCUAGUUGGUAAGGUAACGGCUUACCAAGGCAACGAUGCAUAGCCGACCUGAGAGGGUGAUCGGCCACACUGGAACUGAGACACGGUCCAGACUCCUACGGGAGGCAGCAGUAGGGAAUCUUCCGCAAUGGGCGAAAGCCUGACGGAGCAACGCCGCGUGAGUGAUGAAGGUCUUCGGAUCGUAAAACUCUGUUAUUAGGGAAGAACAUAUGUGUAAGUAACUGUGCACAUCUUGACGGUACCUAAUCAGAAAGCCACGGCUAACUACGCGCCAGCAGCCGCGGUAAUACGUAGGUGGCAAGCGUUAUCCGGAAUUAUUGGGCGUAAAGCGCGCGUAGGCGGUUUUUUAAGUCUGAUGUGAAAGCCCACGGCUCAACCGUGGAGGGUCAUUGGAAACUGGAAAACUUGAGUGCAGAAGAGGAAAGUGGAAUUCCAUGUGUAGCGGUGAAAUGCGCAGAGAUAUGGAGGAACACCAGUGGCGAAGGCGACUUU